UGAUGGCCAACUGAUGGUUCACCAACAUGACCAUCGUACUGAUUGGCCUUCGCUUAGAAGGUGUACGUCUAGGUAGCAUUAUAUUAGACCAUGAAACAAAAUAAGUCGGAAAAAAGGUUAGGAAAGAUGAUGCUAAAGUAACAAAAAAAGAUAGCCAAUGAAAUAAUGAAUAAUCAAGCUACAACUUUCGUGUAGGAUAGGACCAAUGAUAAGAUGAUACACAAAAACUUAAAACAACCAUUAACAACAGCACUCAAAGCAC
rnacentral:lncRNA from 1 species